UACGGAGGGGGCUAGCGUUAUUCGGAAUUACUGGGCGUAAAGCGCACGUAGGCGGCUUUGUAAGUUAGAGGUGAAAGCCUGGAGCUCAACUCCAGAACUGCCUUUAAGACUGCAUCGCUUGAAUCCAGGAGAGGUGAGUGGAAUUCCGAGUGUAGAGGUGAAAUUCGUAGAUAUUCGGAAGAACACCAGUGGCGAAGGCGGCUCACUGGACUGGUAUUGACGCUGAGGUGCGAAAGCGUGGGGAGCAAACAGGG
rnacentral:rRNA from 1 species